AUGAGGUCGUCGAUUAACCGGCCGCCGACGCCGGACCAGGAGGAGGACGAGGAGGAGGAGCAAGGGAAGGAGGCUUCUCUCGGAGAUAUCAUCAACCUCAAGUUGGUGGAGAGCGGCGAGAAGGAGAGGCUGAUGGAGCUUCUCCGGGAGCGGCUCGUCGAGUGCGGCUGGAGGGAUGACAUGAAGGCUCUCUGCAGGGCUUAUGCAAGGAAAAAGGGAAGAAAUAAUGUAACAUUAGAUGAUCUUAUUCAUGUUAUUACUCCAAAAGGAAGAGCCUCGGUGCCCGAUGCGGUGAAGGCAGAGCUGCUGCAACGCAUCCGAUCCUUUCUCAUGUCUUCCUCGCUUUGGUAG
rnacentral:rRNA from 1 species